rnacentral:rRNA from 1 species
UACAGAGGUGGCAAGCGUUGUUCGGAUUCAUUGGGCGUAAAGGGUCCGUAGGCGGCUUGGUAAGUUGGGUGUGAAAUCCCACAGCUUAACUGUGGAACUGCACUCAAAACUGCCAGGCUAGAGUAUGGAAGGGGUGAGGGGAAUUCCCGGUGUAAGGGUGAAAUCUGCAGAGAUCGGGAGGAACACCAGUCGCGAAGGCGCCUCACUGGUCCAUUACUGACGCUCAGGGACGAAAGCUAGGGUAGCAAACGGG